UACGAAGGGGGCUAGCGUUGCUCGGAAUCACUGGGCGUAAAGCGCACGUAGGCGGAUCUUUAAGUCAGGGGUGAAAUCCUGGAGCUCAACUCCAGAACUGCCUUUGAUACUGGGGAUCUCGAGUCCGGGAGAGGUGAGUGGAAUUCCCAGUGUAGAGGUGAAAUUCGUAGAUAUUGGGAAGAACACCAGUGGCGAAGGCGGCUCACUGGCCCGUAACUGACGCUGAGGUGCGAAAGCGUGGGGAGCAAACAGG
rnacentral:rRNA from 1 species